UACGAGGGGUCCUAGCGUUGUUCGGAAUCAUUGGGCGUAAAGCGUCUGUAGGCGGCUUUGUAAGUCGGGUGUGAAAGCCCCAGGCUCAACCUGGGAAGUGCAUUCGAUACUGCAUAGCUUGAAUGUUGGAGAGGAUAGUAGAAUUCCAGGUGUAGUGGUGAAAUACGUAGAUAUCUGGAGGAGUACCGGUGGCGAAGGCGGCUAUCUGGCCAAACAUUGACGCUGAGAGACGAAAGCAUGGGGAUCAAACAGG
rnacentral:rRNA from 1 species